GCAGGAGUGGCGGAAUUGGUAGACGCGCUAGAUUCAGGAUCUAGUGAGCUAAUUUGCUUGUGGGGGUUCGAGUCCCCCCUUCUGCACCA
rnacentral:tRNA from 1 species